UUUUUAAAUUACUGUGCUAAGAUUUUUUAUGAUCUGGGUCCAGGGCACCUCUCCUUACUUGCUUUCUGAACUGUUUGCUGUUCUUUUGUUUUCUAUUCUGUCUCAAUAUCUUCAUUUUCAAACCAAACCCCUUCAGGGUCCAGCUCACAGACCACUUCUCCACAUAGCUUUUGCAGUGCCCAGCUGCAAUUACCUUUUCCUCCUCCACACGCCAUGCCUGUUAGCAGUGCCUGGGGGCUUGUGGGUCAUACUGUUGCUAACAACAAGACUUGAAAUAUUGAAUUCAACAGAGUUCUGUUCACUAAAGAUCGGCUCCAAAAUCAGACAGCAUCAGACCCAGAAUGGUUCAGAGAGCCACUGCGGGGAUGCCACAGGGCUGGGUAACAUCUGGAAACUGAGAAUGGGUGAGCAUAGAAAGAUACCUGCUUGGAUUAGGCUGGGAGGCUGUCUUACUUGAACCUGGCUGGAACCUGUCUUGAAUCCCAGUUACCUGUGAUUGGCUGAAAUUCAGCUACUUAUGAUAAGGGUAGGUUACAGUCUGCUUACAGUCAAGUUAGGUUACAGUUCACUAUUUAGGAGAAACCCUGAGGUCAAACAUAAAAUAUAAAAGGAGGUAGCUUCAGACCAAACCAAAUUUCUUUUAACAGUUCCUACAAGCAUCCUAUUAUUGAUGUAUAUAUAUAUAUGCAUGUUCUCCCAAUUAGAUCAGGUGCUGCAGGAAGACAGGGAAUUUAAUUUCCAAGUGACUGGCAGAAAAAGAGGUGUUUCUUAGACAUUUUUAAAUGUACACAAACCAGAGAAGAAGAAAAACCUAAGCGAUAGGGUACCCUAAUUAAACUAAGAGGCUGAAUCACCAUGUCCUCUCUGGUAAAAUCCUCAUGCUGGUUUCUUUUUUGUUUUUUUCUUAGAAUGGGCUGCCAUAUGCUUAGAAUGUUUUGGUAAUAAAUCCAGCUUGUACUUCCAGGAAAUCUUUUGGGGCUGAGUGCUGAGAUUCAUCAGAGUGGGGUCCCUUGGGUUUCCUGAACAAAGAUGGAGAUUUUCGCCAGAAUGCUGCCUCAUUCCUGUGUGACAGUCCAGCCCUUCAAUCCAGGCAGUUUGUCACCGACAGAAUUUUCAUUUUUGUUUCUGUAGAUGGCGCAAGCUGCACACGUUAAAAUCAAACAGGGCUAAAGACAGCCUUGCCCAGAAGUAAUUGAAUAUCCGUUGGCUUUUUAUUCUUUCUCUGAAGCUUCAUGCUUCUUAUUUAUUUAUCCUUUGAGAAUAUCCCUAAGCAAUGUUCCGGAGUUCUUGAACUAAGGCAGAUCAUUAAAACCAGGUCUUUUAACAGCAGAUCCAGUAUCUUUGGAUAAUUCUGGUUUUAAAGAAAAGAGAAUAUUCGUACUAAAAAAGCAUUCAUUAUUUAUAGUGAUUCUGAAUCGAUUACAAUGUAGGUUAAUUUAAAUCAUGUCUGAAUCAUGUCUGGUUAAAUACAGAAUCCUAAUUAUUAAUCUCCACGGCAGCAUGAAUAUUCCACCAUUUCAUAUUUUAUAUUUUAUGCUGACUCUUUCUGUAACCUCAUUAUACUUCUAAGUAAAAGCCCUGACAUCUCUCCACUUGCCUUUUCAAAGAUACUUUCAUAUUAUUAAGGUGAGGAUUUGAUAUUAUGCUUACGCCAAUAUUUUAUAUUUGAAAAAAUAAUUAUAUCAAGGAUUAAAGGUGAGCAUGUUGUGCUUUGCCUGUGAGUUCAAUCUGGCAGUGAGCUCAGUGUAACAGAGUGAAUAAAUCAGUAGUCUCUGCUUUUCAAGAUAGAUCCAUUCCCUGUGGUUACACAUACACGUGCCUGCACACACACGGAGAGCACGCAUUGUCCACGUGCAAGCGGUGAUCAGGAGAGUUGCACUGGACACAUGGAGAGGAGGACCGUGGCCAGUAUUCUGCAUGCGACACCGUGGGAGAAGAUGAGUGAGAUCAGGGAUGCUUUUGUCUGCAGGCUUACUCGCUUCAAGAACAAGCCACAGGGUCAGUGUGGGGACUUGCAACAAAGGCCACAGCCUAUGUGACUCUUGGAAGUCCUGAGAUUGGAUGAGAAGGACACCCACUGAAAUGUCGCCUGCUGAGAGCCCCAGCACAGGGUCACGUCAGAGGCUGUGCAUGGGGCAGCCUCCUCAGUGCAGCCCAGCAGAGGACAGCUGGACACUCUGCUCCCAGCCUUUGCUCGCCCAGGUCUCUAAAUGCACACAGCGCAUUCAUCCUGAGAACUUUGUUGUUAGAUAUUUUUGAUGCUUUUCCGGAAAUACCCUCAUCACCUCCCAUUGCAUUCGUUUCCGGAAAGGAUGUCAUCCGGAACGGAUCUCCUAGUAGGGGGAGUGUAUUUCCUUCCAGUUCCUCUAAGUAAGACAAUAAAAGAGAUAGAAUCAAGCUGCCUACAUACUUAGCUGAGUGAGGUCCUAAAAUUCAUCAGCAAAUAGGAUGACUUGAAAUCUGGAGCUGCAUCUCCUACCUAUGCUCCUUUCACACCGACAGGCACCUUUGUCAGCCGCUUGCGUGUCUGUGUUCUUCAGCAAAAAAUAAAUGAGGCUGUGCUUAAUCGAGUUCUCCUUGGAGCUAGCUGGCCCUGCAGGUUUUAAAAUUAGAUCCAGGUCCGAACUCGGAGCCUGCAUGGCUUGAUUCCUGCUUUCCAUUCUAGAUGAUGAAUGGAAUGGAUGAAUGGACCUCUGGGCACACUGCACAUGGCUUCAGGGGCUUGUCUACCACAGCUAUUGAUACUAUCAUGCCUGUUUAAUAAGAGAACUGUCUCUGUUCCAGCCUUAAUAAUAAACAUUUUGCUAGGGACUCAUGGACUCAGCUCAAUAAAGAUUCCACGGCCACACCUGUACAGUCAACAUGAUGGAGCUUUUGAGCCUUGUCCUUCAAAGAAACUCGAGUGGAAUUUAAGUCCAAACCCUUCCCAUGGAAAGGCAACCUACUCGUUGUCCGUUUACUGCUUAUUCUUAGUUCUAGCUUAGAAAUGCAGGCAUGGAGGCUUCCCCAGGCGUUCCCCAGUGUCAGGGCUACUGGUAGCCAGAGCUCAGGAAGAUCUUAACUUUCCUCUCAAGUGACCUGUCCAGAAAAAGGAAGGGAUUUUUUCAAGGUUAAUAGGUUUGUUAGUACCCAGUUGAAACAUACAGUCUAUAUUUUGAGGCUAUUUUCGGGGGAUGAAGUUGUCAAGUACUCAGAGCAGUCAAGCUUACCGCACACAGGAGCGUGGAGAUUGCAUAUUGGCUAUAAGCUGAAUGAUCAGGGCAGCGAGGAGGUAGUGUUCGCUUCCUCUGGCCAGGCUGUGGUUCUCAUGAGCCAGUGGGAGAGCAGGGCUUUGUUCCGAAGUCCUCGGACUAAUACCGUCUGUGAGCAAUGAGGUCUGCUAAUUUCAUCAGGAAACACUCACCUUACCAUUUCUGCAGGAGUCACGGAAGCUCGCAGAAUCUGGCAUCAGUAAACCGCUUUUAACACACUGGGUUUACUGUAACAGUUUAGGGCAAUUGUCAAUCCCAGUUAAUUUCAGAUGUGAGUGAACAUACAUCUUUAAAAUAAAAACCGGGGGAGAAAACAGUUUUUGUCCUUGUAUGUGUACGGGGACAGAGCAUGCAGAUUAACAUUCUGUGUUGUGUUUAGAAUUACACUCAUUCCUGGUGUGAUCCUGCCCGUCUAGUAAUCCUUUUGUAAUCGUUAUACAUUCAUUUAAUAAUGGUUACGAUAAGAAGGCAACUCGGAAAUAUUUGUGGGGACGAUUGUCUAUUAAUCAGCAUUUCUCUAGAAGUACACACUAAGAGUCUCUCUCCUUUCUGAUGAACGCACUGAGCAAAAGUGCCCAGAUGCUGAGUGAUUUUUGUUUCUGUCCACACUUGGGUUCUGUUAUCAAACCCCAGGGCUGAACAUACAAAUUGUUGUAAUCUUUUCAUGCAGACUGGAGGCUCCUAAGAAGUGAACAAGGUUUUCCCAGAAAUUUGUAAAAAUUAAAUGAUCUACAGAUGCAAGGAGGAGCGAAGAACAUGUCAACUUGUGCUCGCUCUCGCUGUCUCUCUCUCUCUCUCUCUCUCUCUCCCUCUCUCUCUCUCUCUCUCCCUCUCUCUCCUUCGUUUAUAUUCUGCCGACACAUUUCGGUUGAGUCAUAAUUACUCUGAGAACAGUUGCAGUUUUGUGAGCCUGUUCUGUUUUCGCCCAGAGACAGGUUUAGAAAACCUUCCCGGUCCCAUCAGCACCUCUGGUGUCUCCCUGUUCCCUGGAGCCUAUGUAGGAGCUGCUCCUGCCAUCGCAUCUACCAACCCACCUCUAGCCUUUGGAGACAGAAAAGCAGCUCCUAUGUCAAGAGGCUGGGCUCGCCCCCAGGCGCUUUCCAGGAGCAGGGAGUCGUUGCUGGCUGCAGAUGCGGCUGCUGUGGGUCCUCGCGUGGCCCCGCCUGGGAGCUGCGGAGUGCUCCAGGCUGAAGAAGCAGGUUUCUAAAGGAGUUUUGGAGAUCGCUUAUCUGUUCCUGUGGCUUCUAAUAGCUCUUUGCUUCACUCUAGUAAGAAGUUUCUCCUGCUACUUCAAGUUGCUAUUAAAAUAAAUGCACAGAGGCCACCCUUCACCUCUGCAAACGAGGAAAGAGAGAACAUUGAGACGCAGAGAAUUUCACUUUGCACUUAGAGCUUAUAAAGGUUUCAGGAAAGAACUCGGGAACCAAAAAGUCAACAGGACUCUAGGAACUGUCAACAUACUUGUAUAAAGAAGCAAACGCGUCUCCAUCACACAAAUGAGCAGGGCUAACACUUGUCUACAGAGAAAAGCUCUUCCAGCUGUUUGCCAAAGCACAGGUCCACGAGCCGCUUCAUCUGCCAUCUCCACAGACACGGCGUUAUUAAAGCCAUUCACCUCCUGGGAAUAUUUUCAAGAAAAUGUAUUCCCUCUUGGGAAA